GAUGAACGCUAGCGGCAGGCCUAAUACAUGCAAGUCGAGGGGCAGUUCUGCUUUCGGGCAGAAGCGACCGGCGCACGGGUGCGUAACGCGUAUGCAACCUACCCACAACUGGGGGAUAGCCCGGAGAAAUCCGGAUUAAUACCCCAUAAUGCAGGGGUACCGCAUGGUACUAUUAGCUAAAGAUUUAUUGGUUGUGGAUGGGCAUGCGUCUGAUUAGUUAGUUGGUGAGGUAACGGCUCACCAAGGCAACGAUCAGUAGGGGGUCUGAGAGGAUGAUCCCCCACACUGGUACUGAGAUACGGACCAGACUCCUACGGGAGGCAGCAGUAGGGAAUAUUGGUCAAUGGGCGCAAGCCUGAACCAGCCAUGCCGCGUGCAGGAUGACGGCCUUCUGGGUUGUAAACUGCUUUUUUUACC
rnacentral:rRNA from 1 species